AUUGAACGCUGGCGGCAUGCUUUACACAUGCAAGUCGAACGGUAACAGGCCGCAAGGUGCUGACGAGUGGCGAACGGGUGAGUAAUGCAUCGGAACGUGCCCAGUCGUGGGGGAUAACGCAGCGAAAGCUGUGCUAAUACCGCAUACGAUCUAUGGAUGAAAGCGGGGGACCGUAAGGCCUCGCGCGAUUGGAGCGGCCGAUGUCAGAUUAGGUAGUUGGUGGGGUAAAGGCUCACCAAGCCAACGAUCUGUAGCUGGUCUGAGAGGACGACCAGCCACACUGGGACUGAGACACGGCCCAGACUCCUACGGGAGGCAGCAGGGGGGAAUGUUGGACAAUGGGCGCAAGCCUGAUCCAGCAAUGCCGCGUACAGGAAGAAGGCCUUCGUGUUGUAAACUGCUUUUGUACGGAACGAAAAGGUUUGGGUUAAUACCCUGGGCCGAUGACGGUACCGUAAGAAUAAGCACCGGCUAACUACGUGCCAGCCGCCGCGGUAAAAC
rnacentral:rRNA from 1 species